rnacentral:rRNA from 1 species
CCUACGGGGGGCAGCAGUAGGGAAUUUUCGUCAAUGGGCGCAAGCCUGAACGAGCAAUGCCGCGUGAGCGAGGAAGGUCUUCGGAUCGUAAAGUUCUGUUGAAGGGGAAAAAGAGCGGAGAGAGGAAAUGGUCUCCGAUUGAUAUUACCCUUCGAGGAAGUCACGGCUAACUACGUGCCAGCAGCCGCGGUAAUACGUAGGUGGCGAGCGUUAUCCGGAAUGAUUGGGCGUAAAGGGUGCGUAGGCGGCCUGCUAAGUCUGGAGUGAAAGGUACCGGCUCAACCGGUACAGGCUCUGGAAACUGGCGGGCUAGAGAGCAGGAGAGGGGGGUGGAACUCCAUGUGUAGCGGUAAAAUGCGUAGAUAUAUGGAAGAACACCAGUGGCGAAGGCGGCCGCCUGGCCUGUUAACUGACGCUGAGGCACGAAAGCGUGGGGAGCAAAUAGGAUUAGAUACCCCAGUAGUC